GACAGAGGCCCCGAGCGUUAAUCGGAAUUACUGGGCUUAAAGGGUGCGUAGGCUGAUCCGAAAGUGCUUUGUGAAAUCCCCCGGCUCAACCGGGGAACAGCGGGGCAUACUGCGGAUCUUGAGGCAGGUAGGCGCCGAGGGAACAGUAGGUGGAGCGGUGAAAUGCGUAGAUAUCUACUGGAACGCCGAUGGUGAAGACGCUCGGCUGGGCCUGUCCUGACGCUGAGGCACGAAAGCGUGGGGAGCAAACAGG
rnacentral:rRNA from 1 species